UGUCAGUGUCAAUAUUAUUAUAAUUAUUGUUGAUUGUUAUUAUUUACAGCUCCUCUCUGACUGCUCGUGGCUUUUUGAUAGCCUGAGGUGUGGCACCCAGUCUCGUCUUGUGCUGCUGUAGCCCAUCUGCUUCAAGCUUUUGAAGUGUUGUAGAUUAGGAGAUGCUCUUCUGCACCCCUUGGCUAGGCUCCGGAGACCUGAUGCCAAAAUUUGGAUUAACUUUGGGCGUGUUGUCAUGUGCAAAGAUGGAGAGGAGAAAGCAAAACAAGACCGCUGAUCACUGAAGAAAGUCCCACAAAAUUACCUUCUGGUCAGCUGGGCCUCCUGGGCCUGCUUGGGUUCUCUCAGUGUACUCCAGCUUCC
ensembl:lncRNA